GACGUAGGGGGCUAGCGUUGUCCGGAAUCAUUGGGCGUAAAGCGCGUGUAGGCGGUCCGGUAAGUCCGCUGUGAAGGUCGGGGGCUCAACCCUCGAAUGCCGGUGGAUACUGUCGGGCUAGAGUGCGGAAGAGGCGAGUGGAAUUCCUGGUGUAGCGGUGAAAUGCGCAGAUAUCAGGAGGAACACCAAUUGCGAAGGCAGCUCGCUGGGACGUAACUGACGCUGAGAAGCGAAAGCGUGGGGAGCGAACAGG
rnacentral:rRNA from 1 species